ensembl:lncRNA
GGAGGGCUGGGUGCGUUCGUGGGAAAACCCCCAUGGUGUCCCAUCAGCGGACAUAUCCUGGCUAAAAGAGGACACAGAACGAGGCCUGUUCACCGCUGUUCAGAUAUUUAAACACAAAUCUGGUCAGUUAAAGAGGCGACGGGUGAUCAAAUCCGACCGGAUGUGGUUUUAUCCACCUGAACCGCCUCGCUAUGUGAAGGGAGCUGCGCCAACACACCUUUUUUUCCGGAGCCGUGUAUUUGUGUGGCGUCCGGUUGGAGUUUGGCGAUACUCCCUGAAGUGCCCUCGAGGGGAUGACUACGUCGGGCACGGGAGGGAUGUGCACCUCUACAAGUCUGGCUUUCACCACCGGGUACGUCACAUUUGAUGUGUCCGGCUGGUACACAUCGGUCACUGAGGUCCUGUGCUGUGGACCCUGCACAAAGGCCACCAGGAGCGGAGGAGGUGGCACAGUGGGCCGAUGGCUCGCAUGGGACCGUGCUAUUCGAUCUCAACUUAGUGAGGCUCAUCAAGCUCGGUUCCCUGCCGUCCGCACCAGCAAGGCCCCAUUGUGCAGCACGGCCCUAUCAGGUUUACCUGAUGAGUGGCAUUGCUCGGUGGAAUUCGGACAGGAGUUUGGACGCCGUGUUUGGUGGCAAAGGACAGAAUCACAGGAAAUACUCUGCGCCGCUCAUUCACCGCCUCAACACCCGCUGUCAGCAGCUGUUUGGCGAGACUGGAGGAGAAUUUCCGGGCCCCCGCCAAUGUUGCUUCCAACGAGUUGCUUGGGUUGGAAUAUUUAUUCAGCCAACGCACGGGUGUAUCCGAACCCUUUUCCCUGGUGGACAUCAUCAAUGAUGGACCUGGUCCAGAGGAGGAGGUGGUUCAGCACGGGCAGCCCGAUCCAGAGGCUGACGAGGCGUACCAGAGCGACGGGGAGGCUGGUGGCAACGUGUUGGAUGCCAUCCUGCCCCACAUUAAUCUCACCAGCGACGAAACUGCAACUCUUCACCCUCCAGCCUCUGGUACAAACCAAAGACCAAGUCACAGCAUAUGCAGCGAGAGCGAACUGGUCCAAAACCGGGCUUUUUAAAGAGCCCAGCCAGCUGCGACCACUGACGAGGGGGUGGAUGGCUGCAGUCCAAACCCGCUUCCUGGCUUUGAAAAGCUAUAAAAGUUCUGUUCUGGUGGCAAUCAGCCCGACAGAGGACAAGCUGACGCUUUCCACUGAGCAGAGGAACGAGGUCCUUGAAUCCCGGAAUGCUGUGGAGGAGCACGACAAGCAGCCGCAGCAGUUCAACCAGCUGUACAGAAGGAUCCGAUCCUCUGCAAGGCCGGCAUUCCUCUGCCAAAGAUCAACGUCAAAACUGUGCAGGACUUCACCCGGCGUCAGGAGCGCCUCCUGAACAUGAAUCCCACAAAACAGUCCUCUACUGUAACGAAGAUCACCUCCAUUUCAUCUGCUGACCUCCCUCGAGCACUACACCAGCCGUCAGUCCUCCACCACUCUACCCUCUGAUGGAGUACGGGGCCAUCCCCAGCACAGCAGGGACUACGGUGUUGAAGGGAAGGACGGACAUGAUGAUGGCUCUCUUCCGGCCUCUACCACCACUGCAACUCCUGCAACCGCUGGCGGCUGUAAAAAAAAAAUCCUGCCACCUCCACCAUCUCCAGACCUGUACCCUCCAUGUCCAGCUCCGCAGCCGACACGGAGUGCGCUGGCCCCUCCACUCGGCCAAUAUUGCCUGCAAAUCCUCCUGCAUCACUGCCAUCUCUGUCCACAAUGCCUACUGCUUGUGAUUUAAGUUCACCAUCCUGGGCAAGAUCCACGCAGUACAAGCGAAAGAGUAUGGAACAUCCCUCUGCAGUUGGAGUCGAGGUGUCGCGGGUGCACAAACUCCCUCUCUGUACAUGAC